UAGAGUUUGAUCAUGGCUCAGAUUGAACGCUGGCGGCAGGCCUAACACAUGCAAGUCGAGCGGUAGAGAGGAGCUUGCUCCUCUUGAGAGCGGCGGACGGGUGAGUAAUGCCUAGGAAUCUGCCUGGUAGUGGGGGAUAACGUUCGGAAACGGACGCUAAUACCGCAUACGUCCUACGGGAGAAAGCAGGGGACCUUCGGGCCUUGCGCUAUCAGAUGAGCCUAGGUCGGAUUAGCUAGUUGGUGAGGUAAUGGCUCACCAAGGCGACGAUCCGUAACUGGUCUGAGAGGAUGAUCAGUCACACUGGAACUGAGACACGGUCCAGACUCCUACGGGAGGCAGCAGUGGGGAAUAUUGGACAAUGGGCGAAAGCCUGAUCCAGCCAUGCCGCGUGUGUGAAGAAGGUCUUCGGAUUGUAAAGCACUUUAAGUUGGGAGGAAGGGCAGUAAAUUAAUACUUUGCUGUUUUGACGUACCGAC
rnacentral:rRNA from 1 species